rnacentral:rRNA from 1 species
GCCAGACUCCUACGGGAGGCAGCAGUGAGGAAUGUUGGUCAAUGGCCGGAAGGCUGAACCAGCCAAGCCGCGUGAAGGACGAAGGUGCCAAGCAUUGUAAACUUCUUUUGUCAAGGGACAAAAUCAGGCUCGAGAGCCUGACCGAGGGUACUUGAAGAAAAAGCAUCGGCUAACUCCGUGCCAGCAGCCGCGGUAAUACGGAGGAUGCGAGCGUUAUCCGGAUUUAUUGGGUUUAAAGGGGGCGCAGGCGGGAGAUCAAGUCAGCGGUAAAAUGUCGGGGCUCAACCCCGGCCGGCCGUUGAAACUGGUUUUCUAGAGUUGGAGAGAAGUAUGCGGAAUUCGUGGUGUAGCGGUGAAAUGCAUAGAUAUCACGAAGAACUCCGAUUGCGAAGGCAGCAUGCCGGCGCCACACUGACGCUGAGGCACGAAAGCGUGGGUAUCGAACAGGAUUAGAUACCCGUGUACA